AGAGUUUGAUCCUGGCUCAGAUUGAACGCUGGCGGUAUGCUUAACACAUGCAAGUCGAACGGUAACAGCAGAGCUUGCUCUGGCUGACGAGUGGCGGACGGGUGCGUAACGCGUGGGAAUCUACCUUGUAGUGGGGGAUAGCCCGGAGAAAUCCGGAUUAACACCGCAUAAUCUCUACGGAGGAAAAGGGGCCUCUUCUUGAAAGCUCCUGCUAUUAGAUGAGCCCGCGUUGGAUUAGCUUGUUGGUAGGGUAAUGGCCUACCAAGGCGACAAUCCAUAGCUGGUUUGAGAGGAUGAUCAGCCACACUGGGACUGAGACACGGCCCAGACUCCUACGGGAGGCAGCAGUGGGGAAUAUUGGACAAUGGGCGAAAGCCUGAUCCAGCAAUACCGCGUGUGUGAAGAAGGCCUGAGGGUUGUAAAGCACUUUCAAUAGAGACGAAAAGCUUAAGGCUAAUAACCUUGAGUCUUGACUUAACCUAUAGAAGAAGCACCGGCUAACUAAGUGCCAGCAGCCGCGGUAAUACUUAGGGUGCAAGCGUUAAUCGGAAUUACUGGGCGUAAAGCGCUCGUAGGCGGCUUGUAAAGUCGGAUGUGAAAUCCCCGGGCUCAACCUGGGAACUGCAUUCGAUACUGGCAAGCUAGAGUAUAGUAGAGGCAAGUGGAAUUCCGGGUGUAGCGGUGAAAUGCGUAGAUAUC
rnacentral:rRNA from 1 species